rnacentral:rRNA from 1 species
CAGUUAAAAAGCUCGUAGUUGGAUCUCGGGUACUAGCAUGUGGUACGCUUAACUGCGUUACUACAUGUCUGGUCCUAAUCAACCGGUUGGCCGUUGAUGCCCUUUAUUGGGUGUUUUCGGUAGCCGGUACGUUUACUUUGAGAAAAUUAGAGUGCUUAAAGCAGGCCUUACGCCUGAAUAAUGUUGCAUGGAAUAAUAGAAUAGGACCUCGGUUCUAUUUUGUUGGUUUUGUAGAGCAUUGAGGUAAUGAUUAAUAGGGACAGACGGGGGCAUUCGUAUUGCGGUGUUAGAGGUGAAAUUCUUGGAUCGCCGCAAGACGAACAACUGCGAAAGCAUUUGCCAAGAAUGUUUUCAUUAAUCAAGAACGAAAGUUGGAGGUUCGAAGACGAUUAGAUACCGUCCUAGUUCCAACCAUAAACGAUGCCAACUAGCGAUUAGCUGCUGUUAAUUAAACGACACAGCUAGCAGCUUCCGGGAAACCAAAGUCUUUGGGUUCCGGGGGGAAGUAUGGUUGCAAAGCUGAAACUUAAAGGAAUUGACGGAAGG